GCCCUGUUGGUGUAACUGCAGCACACCCUGUCUACAUAAAUGGAGUUGCUGAAAUUGCAUCAGGGAGGAGCUCGUUCGACUCGGGCGCAGGGCA